CUGAAGGAGCACCGCCGCCUGAUAGAAGAAGGCCUUCGGGUUGUAAAAGUACGUUCAUAGGGAAGAACAACUGUUAGUUGAAUAACCUGGCACCUUGACGGUACUUACCCAGAAAGCCCCGGCUAACUACGUGCCAGCAGCCGCGGUAAUACGUAGGUGGCAAGCGUUAUUCGGAAUUAUUGGGCGUAAAGCGCGCGCAGGUGGUUUGUUAAGUCAGAUGUGAAAUCCCACGGCUCAACCGUGGAGGGUCAUUGGAAACUGGCAGACUUGAGUGCAGAAGAGGAAAGUGGAAUUCCCAUGUGUAGCGGUGAAAUGCGUAGAGU
rnacentral:rRNA from 1 species